rnacentral:tRNA from 1 species
GCGGGCGUAGCUCAACUGGUUAGAGCGCCUGGUUGUGGUCCAGGAGGCUGUGGGUUCAAGUCCCAUCGCUCGCCCCA